rnacentral:rRNA from 1 species
GAUGAACGCUGGCGGCGUGCCUAAUACAUGCAAGUCGAGCGAACGGACGAGAAGCUUGCUUCUCUGAUGUUAGCGGCGGACGGGUGAGUAACACGUGGAUAACCUACCUAUAAGACUGGGAUAACUUCGGGAAACCGGAGCUAAUACCGGAUAAUAUUUUGAACCGCAUGGUUCAAAAGUGAAAGACGGUCUUGCUGUCACUUAUAGAUGGAUCCGCGCUGCAUUAGCUAGUUGGUAAGGUAACGGCUUACCAAGGCAACGAUGCAUAGCCGACCUGAGAGGGUGGUCGGCCACACUGGAACUGAGACACGGUCCAGACUCCUACGGGAGGCAGCAGUAGGGAAUCUUCCGCAAUGGGCGAAAGCCUGACGGAGCAACGCCGCGUGAGUGAUGAAGGUCUUCGGAUCGUAAAACUCUGUUAUUAGGGAAGAACAUAUGUGUAAGUAACUGUGCACAUCUUGACGGUACCGAAUCAGAAAGCCACGGCUAACUACGUG